UCGGAGACAUCUGAUAAAAUUGGAACGAUACAGAGAAGAUUAGCAUGGCCCCUGCGCAAGGAUGACACGCACAAAUCGAGAAAUGGUCCAAAUUUUUUUUGCAAUCUCGCCGGUGAUAUUGCGACCCUCGAACCCUAGAAUCUUCAAAAAUCCCCCCCCAAACUUCGUCUAUUGCGAUCUUCAAACCCUAGAAUUUUAAAAUUGCCUCGUAAAUUAGGUGAAGAGUUCUCUUUUCUGGUCUAUACCCUAAUACUGAAAGAAAACCUCAUUGCUGCUGCCAAUCCCAAAAAUUGUAUUUGCAGUGAAUACUCGACAGGACGCAGUGCUUGCUGUCAUGGAUCAGUGGCGGUUUUGCACACUGAAGUAUUUUUCAUCACGUUCUGUUCCUUUAGAAUUCUUCCAAAGGCGAUGCUGACCCAACCAUCAGCCAAUCCUUCUUGCCCCGACUCCGAUCCCUCUGCGGCCAGAUCCGCUAUGCCUUUGGGCAUGUUGCUCUGGACGCUGGAAACGUGACGGAUUUCAAUGCGAGCUACUUCAAUAAUCGGAGGGAUGACAGGGUGUGCUGAAGUCCGAUCAGAGUCUCUGGGAGGAUGCCACGACACAACAUACUGUCUGGAAUUAUGCUGGGAACAUUAGAGAGUUGCUUGGUUUGAGGAUUAGCUAUGAUUUCCCGAAGGCCAUGGUCAAGCAGCAUGGGGGUGAAUACUGGGAAGCAAGGGGAAGUUAAAAAGAAAUAUUCCAAGUUUAACUGAGAAGAUGCGAGUAUUGAAUAAGAGAUUGGUUGUCUGAGAUUCCAGUUUAUAUUGGGAAACUUUUGGAAUGUCUAACUGGUUACAUAAUUAAGAUUUGCUAACCUUUCAUUGGUACAAGGGAGCCAUAAUAUAAAGCAAAUAGUAUACAGGUGGAUACAUGUUAUAUUAGGGAAAAAGGUUGCACACUUAUUAUUAUUAUUAUUAUUAUUAUUAUUAUUAUUGUUUGGCUUCUUGGUUUGCAAAUACCAUCAUCAUCUUUUAUUUCUCCACAUCUGAGUAUGAUGUCUUUAAUGUACGCAUAAAUCCAUUCCAAUUAAGCAAAUGCCUGCUUCGUUCUUCUGAAAAGUUAAUACUGGAAGUUAUUGUUGCCGUAAUGGAGAUACCAUGAUAACAAAUAAUCUUAUUAUAAUUUUUCUAUAAGAAUAACCUUUCACUAAAGGGGGCCUAAUUGCUUCCUGGUAUGGUUUUAAUUCUCUUCUAUGGCGUCUCCGAUAAACACUGGUUGAAUAAAUAGUCCUUCAGGAUUGAGCACAUACCAACUCCAGCAAAUAGAAGGAUAAUUUGGGUCAACUUCUGAUUUUAUCCCACAUCAUCUGAUUUCAUGAUGUUAAUAGUUUUAUUAUUAAA